CUGUGAGCUCGAUGAGUAGGGCGGGACACGUGGUAUCCUGUCUGAAUAUGGGGGGACCAUCCUCCAAGGCUAAAUACUCCUGACUGACCGAUAGUGAACCAGUACCGUGAGGGAAAGGCGAAAAGAACCCCGGCGAGGGGAGUGAAAAAGAACCUGAAACCGUGUACGUACAAGCAGUGGGAGCACGCUUAGGCGUGUGACUGCGUACCUUUUGUAUAAUGGGUCAGCGACUUAUAUUCUGUAGCAAGGUUAACCGAAUAGGGGAGCCGAAGGGAAACCGAGUCUUAACUGGGCGUUAAGUUGCAGGGUAUAGACCCGAAACCCGGUGAUCUAGCCAUGGGCAGGUUGAAGGUUGGGUAACACUAACUGGAGGACCGAACCGACUAAUGUUGAAAAAUUAGCGGAUGACUUGUGGCUGGGGGUGAAAGGCCAAUCAAACCGGGAGAUAGCUGGUUCUCCCCGAAAGCUAUUUAGGUAGCGCCUCGUGAAUUCAUCUCCGGGGGUAGAGCACUGUUUCGGCAAGGGGGUCAUCCCGACUUACCAACCCGAUGCAAACUGCGAAUACCGGAGAAUGUUAUCACGGGAGACACACGGCGGGUGCUAACGUCCGUCGUGAAGAGGGAAACAACCCAGACCGCCAGCUAAGGUCCCAAAGUCAUGGUUAAGUGGGAAACGAUGUGGGAAGGCCCAGACAGCCAGGAUGUUGGCUUAGAAGCAGCCAUCAUUUAAAGAAAGCGUAAUAGCUCACUGGUCGAGUCGGCCUGCGCGGAAGAUGUAACGGGGCUAAACCAUGCACCGAAGCUGCGGCAGCGACGCUUAUGCGUUGUUGGGUAGGGGAGCGUUCUGUAAGCCUGCGAAGGUGUGCUGUGAGGCAUGCUGGAGGUAUCAGAAGUGCGAAUGCUGACAUAAGUAACGAUAAAGCGGGUGAAAAGCCCGCUCGCCGGAAGACCAAGGGUUCCUGUCCAACGUUAAUCGGGGCAGGGUGAGUCGACCCCUAAGGCGAGGCCGAAAGGCGUAGUCGAUGGGAAACAGGUUAAUAUUCCUGUACUUGGUGUUACUGCGAAGGGGGGACGGAGAAGGCUAUGUUGGCCGGGCGACGGUUGUCCCGGUUUAAGCGUGUAGGCUGGUUUUCCAGGCAAAUCCGGAAAAUCAAGGCUGAGGCGUGAUGACGAGGCACUACGGUGCUGAAGCAACAAAUGCCCUGCUUCCAGGAAAAGCCUCUAAGCAUCAGGUAACAUCAAAUCGUACCCCAAACCGACACAGGUGGUCAGGUAGAGAAUACCAAGGCGCUUGAGAGAACUCGGGUGAAGGAACUAGGCAAAAUGGUGCCGUAACUUCGGGAGAAGGCACGCUGAUAUGUAGGUGAAGUCCCUCGCGGAUGGAGCUGAAAUCAGUCGAAGAUACCAGCUGGCUGCAACUGUUUAUUAAAAACACAGCACUGUGCAAACACGAAAGUGGACGUAUACGGUGUGACGCCUGCCCGGUGCCGGAAGGUUAAUUGAUGGGGUCAGCGCAAGCGAAGCUCUUGAUCGAAGCCCCGGUAAACGGCGGCCGUAACUAUAACGGUCCUAAGGUAGCGAAAUUCCUUGUCGGGUAAGUUCCGACCUGCACGAAUGGCGUAAUGAUGGCCAGGCUGUCUCCACCCGAGACUCAGUGAAAUUGAACUCGCUGUGAAGAUGCAGUGUACCCGCGGCAAGACGGAAAGACCCCGUGAACCUUUACUAUAGCUUGACACUGAACAUUGAGCCUUGAUGUGUAGGAUAGGUGGGAGGCUUUGAAGUGUGGACGCCAGUCUGCAUGGAGCCGACCUUGAAAUACCACCCUUUAAUGUUUGAUGUUCUAACGUUGACCCGUAAUCCGGGUUGCGGACAGUGUCUGGUGGGUAGUUUGACUGGGGCGGUCUCCUCCUAAAGAGUAACGGAGGAGCACGAA
rnacentral:rRNA from 1 species